CCAGACUUGACAUGCAGAAGACAGUGCUAGAGAUAGCAUCUUCCUUCGGGACUUCUGCACAGGUGCUGCAUGGCUGUCGUCAGCUCGUGCCGUGAGGUGUUUGGUUAAGUCCAGCAACGAGCGCAACCCUUAUCAUUAGUUGCCAACAUUUAAGGUGGGAACUCUAAUGAGACUGCCUGGGUUAACCAGGAGGAAGGUGAGGAUGACGUCAAGUCCGCAUGGCCCUUAUGUCUGGGGCUGCACACGUGCUACAAUGGUCGGUACAGAAGGCAGCGAAGCCGCGAGGUGGAGCAAAUCCGUAAAGCCAAUCUCAGUUCAGAUUGUAGUCUGCAACUCGACUACAUGAAGACGGAAUUGCUAGUAAUGACGUGUCAGCAACAACGUCGUGAAUACGUUCCC
rnacentral:rRNA from 1 species